AGUACAUCAGCACUCUCAUAUGAAUUGGAACAAUACAGUGAAGAUUAACACCAUCCCUGCACAAAGUGGAAGUGGAAAUCAGCAUGCGUAAAUCAAAAAAU
rnacentral:snRNA from 1 species